UUUGCCUGAUCAGCACCUUUUUUCACAGUAAAAUACUUAAAUCUCUCAUCACAAGAGUGAAGACACAAAUCAGAGCCAUUUUAACUUCUGGUUUAAACUACAAUGAAUUUAGCUUUAUUUCUGCAGCUGUCCCAGAGUGGUUUGCAGCUGGCGCUUUUGGACUGGUUACAAUUUUUACGUUACUUCUCCGGAAUGUGCCUGCAUUACAGUCAAACAUAUUAUCGACUUUUGACAAUCCUCAGCUGUUGAUGGAUGGGCUACCCGGAGCCCUUGUGACUGCACUUGUUCUGGGGGCGCAUGAAUUGAGCCACAUACUGGUUGCAAAAAGUAAUGAAGUUAAGCUUGGGGUGCCAUACUUUGUUCCAAGUUGGCAGGUGAAAUACAAACACACAUAAAUACACACACACACUGUAUGCGUGUACAUAUACAUAUAUGGUUGUCUUGUCUUAAUCUUUACGGAGCAGUUCCCUAGCCACGAUUUCUUUUGGAAAGCUUGCAAGGAGACUUGUCCUUCAGAAGCAGUUUAUUUUUAUCAAUAUACAUGAUUACUGAUCUAUCCUGUAUCAGCGGCAGAUAGUCUCUUUUGGUGCUAUAACGAGGAUACCAAGUAUCGUGCCCAAACAUGAAGUUCAUCUGAAAGUUGCGGCAGCAGGACCUUUAGCUGGGUUUUCUUGGGAGAGCUUUUGCUAU